rnacentral:tRNA from 1 species
AGAAACUUAGGUUACACACCAAACCAAGAGCCUUCAAAGCCCUAAACAGAGAUCCCCUCUAGUUUCUG